rnacentral:rRNA from 2 species
CCUACGGGAGGCAGCAGUGGGGAAUAUUGGACAAUGGGCGAAAGCCUGAUCCAGCCAUGCCGCGUGAGUGAUGAAGGCCCUAGGGUUGUAAAGCUCUUUUGUGCGGGAAGAUAAUGACGGUACCGCAAGAAUAAGCCCCGGCUAACUUCGUGCCAGCAGCCGCGGUAAU